rnacentral:lncRNA from 1 species
UCCUUGUAAUGCAUUCUAAAAUAGUAAACCAGUAAACCGGAAGUAAACUGAUUUUUCUUAGUAUAAGCCUCCUUUAAUUAGGAGCACCUCCAUAUGAAGUUUAACCUUAACUUAAAAAAUAUCCAAUAUAUGUACACGUAACAGUAUAUAUACAUAAACGAUAAAAGUGCCAUGAAUGGCAUAUUUACAGGGACCUUUUAAAUAGAAAUACAGGCGGGAAAUUUAAGAACUCAAAAUGUUUAAAACAUUACACUUUUAUUGAUUGCUGUCUUGAGCUCUGAUUCCAUCAACAACUGUCAGUCCAUACUUUACCAAUGCAAUAUAACCAUGCAUUUCCCUUUCUUUGAUUCUUAGCAUAAUUUAUGUGGCCUUUUGUUAAUCUUUUGCAUGCUCUAGGUGCCCUUUUUUAUUGGAGUUACCAUUCCCACUGUGUGAUAGGGGAAACACUAAUCUUUGUACUCUUUAUUCUGACAAAACACAAGUAUCACAGAUAGAUGUCAUCAAAUAAAAUAGUCAGAUAUGUUUUAGUUUUUUUUCAAUGCAAAUUUCUAUAUUAAACUAAAAUAUAAUAGACAGGAUCUUCUUUUUAUUAAGAAUGAUUGAUUCUUCUCUUGAAAUCUGAAAAUGGUUGAUGUACACUUUUUGAAGGAGGGUGGGGGGUCUGAAAAAGUGUACGUUUUGUACACUUUGGAAAAUGGUUGACAAUUAUGGAUGACCCCUUAA